rnacentral:rRNA from 1 species
UGGGGAAUCUUGCACAAUGGGGGAAACCCUGAUGCAGCGACGCCGCGUGGGCGAUGAAGCCCUUCGGGGUGUAAAGCUCUUUCGGCAGGAACGAUCAUGACGGUACCUGAAGAAGAAGCUGCGGCUAACUACGUGCCAGCAGCCGCGGUAAUACGUAGGCAGCGAGCGUUGUUCGGAGUUACUGGGCGUAAAGCGUGCGUAGGCGGUUUUGUAAGUUUGGUGUGAAAUCUCCCGGCUCAACUGGGAGGGUGCGCCGAAAACUGCAAGGCUGGAGUGUGGGAGAGGUAGGCGGAAUUCCUGGUGUAGCGGUGAAAUGCGUAGAUAUCAGGAGGAACACCUGUGGUGUAGACGGCUUACUGGACCAUGACUGACGCUGAGGCACGAAAGCGUGGGGAGCAAACAGGAUUAGAUACCCUGGUAGUCCACGCCCUAAACGAUGCAUACUUGGUGUGGGUAAUUCAUUUUAUCCGUGCCGGAGCUAACGCGUUAAGUAUGCCGCCUGGGGAGUACGGUCGCAAGGCUGA